UACAGAGGGUGCGAGCGUUGUCCGGAAUUACUGGGCGUAAAGGGUGCGUAGGUGGUCGUUUUAAGUCCGUUGUGAAAUCCCUGGGCUCAACCUGGGAAUGGCAGUGGAUACUGGACGGCUAGAAUGCGGUAGAGGGUAGUGGAAUUCCCGGUAUAGCAGUGAAAUGCGUAGAGAUCGGGAGGAACACCAGUGGCGAAGGCGGCUACCUGGACCAGCAUUGACACUCAAGCACGAAAGCGUGGGGAGCAAACAGG
rnacentral:rRNA from 1 species